rnacentral:rRNA from 1 species
GACGAACGCUGGCGGCGUGCUUAACACAUGCAAGUCGAACGGAAAGGCCCUGCUUUUGUGGGGUGCUCGAGUGGCGAACGGGUGAGUAACACGUGAGUAACCUGCCCUUGACUUUGGGAUAACUUCAGGAAACUGGGGCUAAUACCGGAUAGGAGCUCCUGCUGCAUGGUGGGGGUUGGAAAGUUUCGGCGGUUGGGGAUGGACUCGCGGCUUAUCAGCUUGUUGGUGGGGUAGUGGCUUACCAAGGCUUUGACGGGUAGCCGGCCUGAGAGGGUGACCGGCCACAUUGGGACUGAGAUACGGCCCAGACUCCUACGGGAUGCAGCAGUGGGGAAUAUUGAACAAUGGGCGGAAGCCUGAUGCAGCAACGCCGCGUGCGGGAUAACGGCCUUCGGGUUGUAAACCGCUUUCGCCUGUGACGAAGCGUGAGUGACGGUAAUGGGUAAAGAAGCACCGGCUAACUACGUG